rnacentral:lncRNA from 1 species
UAGAGAAUUUGGAUCUUCUCUAGGUUCCAAAAGAAUUUAGGGAAGAUUGGAAUCUAGGGAAAAUUGGAACCUAAGGAAGAUUGGAACAUAGGGAAAAUUGGAACCUAAGGAAAAUUGGAACAUAGGGAAAAUUGGAACCUAAGGAAGAUUGGAACCUAGGGAAAAUUGAAACCUAAGGAAGAAACACAGGAAGAGAUUAGUACCUACCAAAACUUAGAACCUAAGAGUUAGAAUUGAAAUGAAAGUGAACCACCUAGCGAGAGUGUAAUUCUGAAGCCUAGGGACUAGGAAGGGACUAGGAGGAACCAAAAACUAACCUAAAAUCUAGGUUUUAACUUCCCCAUUUGCCCUAUACAAACAUAUACAAAUAACAAAAUAGAGGGAGGAGCCGAAGAGAUGAACAGUGACGGAUCCAGAGAGGAUACAAUGGAGUCUCCGCAACAAAUUAAUUCGUAUUACAAAAUAAAAUUACUUUUCUCUUCUCAAUUUUAUAUAAUGCAUAAAUAAUUCCUCUGAACAUUAUCACCGAAUUUAGACAAACAUCGUGCAAAGGAUUCAUGUAUAUCUCUCCUGAAGAGUACAACUUUUGGAUCCGCCCCUGGAGAUGAAACCCUAUAAUUACAAGAGUAUGCAACGCUGCGAUAAUUUUGAAAUUGUCGUAACAAAAUAAGUUCCAUGAUUGAACUUAACCACUCGUCAUCAUACCAAAAAACCUAUGUCCAACACUUUCAAUUACCCGAAGUAUACGUACAAUUACAUUGUCGUCCAUAAGUAUUAGGAUAAGUAUUAGGAUACGAUUUUAAUGAAUUAAGUACAUCUCCAAUUUUUUGUUACAUAGUUACCAUUAGAAUUUGGAAGUACAUUCGAAUGCAGUAGACUUUUGAUUAAAGGAGAAGCUGGGACCUCGGGGGAAGAUGUAGGGAAAGAUUUGGACCUAAGGGACCUAGGGAGUCAGAGAUAAUUCGAGGUGGUCUUAGGAAGAACUAGAGACUAUGAAAGGACCGGAGAACCAAGGAAAGCUAGGAAGAGCCAAGGAAAGCUGAGGAGAGCCAGGAAGAGCUAGGGAGAGCCAGGGAAAGCUAGGGAGAGCCAGGGAGAGCCAACGAAAUACCCGAAAGAUCCCAGAACAAGCUAAGGGUCGCAAAAUACCGAGAAAGUCAGCAUAACUCAAUCUCGAACCCUUUAUCCUCUUAAUUACAUUCCACAUCAUUUCUAAUAAUUUAUUCGUAUUUGAAUAAAAAAUAAAAAUUUGUGUCCUAAUACUUAUGGACGCCAAUGCAUAUCGAAAUUUUCAAGAUUACACAUGUAUAUACUUGUAUCAAAUUUUGUGUGUUCGAAUCACUUUUUGAAGAAAAAAAAAUAAGUGGGUGCUGACUGGUGUAGUAAACAAACUGGUGGUGCACAAUAUGAUUGAGUGGUGAUGUAUUAUGCUUUUCUAUCAUCUCGUGUAUAGAUUAUAAUUAAUCGUAAUAAUAAUAAUGAUGCGUAAUACUAAACAAGCCUUGUACACGCUCCAAGAAUCUAUUGAGAAAAAAGAAAAGAAAAAAUACAACAGAGGUAUACGCUUUGUUCCAUUCGAGUUUGUCAAAGUAUGAUUUGUUAAAAGCUAUGUUGUCUUUUUCUUUCUUUUCUUUUUAAAUCUUCCGCGGAGCGUAAAAGUAUUUCAAUGGAUUUAUAAAUAAAAUAGAAAACAAUGUUCUUAA